UGGGUUGCUAUUAAGUAUCAAGUAUCUACACCUGGGCCCAAUCAGAGUGAAGAGAAAAGUGGAAGUCCGGCUGAAGGCGGAAGUCAACAACAGCAGCAGGGAGAGGCCUGGGCUUUGAAGCGACAGGCCUUAGAGCAAGGGACCAAUUCAGCUGCAUGGAGAGGAUAGGCAGAGCAAGGGGCCAAAGCUCCAAGCCUCUCCUCCCGAGUGACUGCCAAUUGGUCUUUAACAGUUAAGCCAAGAGAAAGAAAGAAACCAUGAGUCUCCCAGGGAACUGGUCUUUUAAGACGCCAUCAUUCUGCUUACUCACGGCAAGGCGCCAUUCUUGAGCUGAGCUUCAGUAAUUGGUUUUUGCAGCCACAAACACAUCCAUCAAGGAAGAUGUGAGAAGCCCAGGGCUCGCUCACUCUGCUUUUUGAAAUGGCUUUUGCUGCAGAUGGGAAAUGCCAUCCCAGCUCCGAGUUGGCAGGUCUUGAGGUCAAACCUUAGAGAGCUAGCACCUAGAAACUCCAAGGCAAGGAGGAGCAGGUGGCUUUGGAAGAGUAAAUGACCCUGAAGAUUGCAGGAAGGAGGACCUGUGACAAAUUCAAAGAACCACCAAGGAUAUCCUGGACACAGCUGUCCUGUUUUACCAAGACUACUUAUUGAAGAGAUGACCCUUCCGCCAAUAUGUUUUCCUGCCUCCUCUGCUUUGAUCAAUUAACCAUUGUUUUUUAUAUCUGUGUUCAACAGUAAACGAAAGCACCCUGUGGCAACAUAAAAAAUACCAAGAGAAGCAUAUGGAGUAAAGAAACUCUUCAAGAAACAAUCAGACAGAUCCAGGGCAUUUUAUGGGAACAGAAAAAAAAUAAAGGUUACCUAUCCUGGUCCUGAAUGGGGUCCUUGUGUGGGAGCGUCCUUGUGCAGUCUGCCUGUGCCUGGUGGCUUUGAUGAGCGAGUUGUGUCUGAAGUACAGUGCUGGAUCCAGGUUGGCACCAUCCUCCAUGGCAAAGCACUCUCCAGAACCAGCAGCCUUUGCUCUAGUGGGAAGCUGUGCUGUGGAGCAAGACGGGCCACAGCGUGUGCUGGAGUGAUCCCACCUCUGGCCAGAGCACUGACCUUUCACCCCUGUGACCACCAGGGUGGAUGCCUUGCCAGCCUUUCGGAUGCUGAAUACUCCUUCUGCCAGUCUCCAGUUUGUUUCCAGUGAGAACUGCUCACAUUUUUGAUGUCUUCAUGGGGGGAGGUGUCUAAACUAGCCAUGGUUAGGUUUGUUGAAUAAGGUGUAAGAAGACAGGUAAAGAAGCAUCAUUGUUAUUGGACCAUGCUUUUUCUCUGUGGCAAAAAAGCAUUGAGGCAAUCACUGAGACAUUUUGGAAACAGACCACACGUGAGAGCAACUGCUUGGAUCAUGAUCUCAGCUCCUAGCUGACCAGCACUUCCCAUCACAUCCCUGCAUCUGAGCCCCCACAGAAAGCACUGGAAAGGAAUUUCAAGUAAAACACGGAUUCUGGUAUUUUCAAGUUUAUCACCUUUGGAACGACAGAUUCUAUCAUUUCAGGAGACAUCAAAUCAGAGUGACUCCUGGGUGUCAACUGCUCUGAGAAAUCUGAUCAUCAAGCCCAUUGAGGACAGAGGCGAGAGGCUUUGCUGCCCAUGAAAUGGAACCGCCGGGAAGGGGCAGAAAGAUCAGAAGCUCUCCUUAUCACUGCUAAGGAAGCAGCACUGGCAGAAACGGCUUCUCAGCUGAGAUUUCUGCUAUUGCUAACAGCACUUUCUCAACUCCCUGAUGGGGGCAGAGAUGAUCUGUGUAGAAAACUGACAAACAUCUGAGGCCAAACUGUUGCUUUUAACAAGUGUGAAGCCACAUCCAUGCAUUUGAAAGCUGUAUCUAGCUGUGACUAGCAGAAGCUGAAAAUAGCUAGAAAUAAAAACUAAGUCCUUGUGGUGAAGAGUAAUGAAAGUGAGAAUUUGUGUAACCAAAGCAGUGAUUAUGUGGGUAUAGUGAGGUCAUGUCCCAUUCUAGGUUCUGUCUCCUGGCAAAGAGGCACAGGCCAGGUGACUGGCUUUGCUUCAGGACACUCAGCCUUCCCUCCUCCAUGUUGCUAGCUCUGAUUUAAGCCUCUUAAAGCAGAGGCCUUAAAUCCUCUUAAAUCCUUACCUCUUUGUGGCCUGAAAAAUGAUCAUGAGGACAACAAGCAAAUGAUACUGAAAUCGCCACAAAAGAGACCAGAAACCCUUAAGGCAGCAGUUCUCAAACUUUAUCAAGAACUCCAAAUGAUAUGUCCACGUGGAUUGUAUUUAUUGUACUUAGAAAUAUUAAAUAUUUAUAUAAACAAA